rnacentral:rRNA from 1 species
AUUGAACGCUGGCGGCAGGCCUAACACAUGCACGUCGAGCGAGCGGCGGACGGGUGAGUAAUGUAUGGGGAUCUGCCCGAUAGAGGGGGAUCACUACUGGAAACGGUGGCUAAUACCGCAUACUAUCGGAUGCACCCCUAGGGGAUUAGCUAGUAGGUGGGGUAAAGGCUCACCUGGGCGACGAUCCCUAGCUGGUCUGAGAGGAUGAUCAGCAACAGUGGGACUGAGACACGGCCCAGACUCCUACGGGAGGCAGCAGUGGGGAAUAUGGCACAAUGGGCGCAAGCCUGAUGCAGCCAUGCCGCGUGUAUGAAGAAGGCCUUAGGGUUGUAAAGUACUUUCAGCGGGGAGGCGUUACCCGCAGAAGAAGCACCGGCGAACGCCGUGCCAGCAGCCGCGGUAAUUC